GUAUUUGUAGUUCAAGAAGAACCCUGGUCUUGUAAGUCAGUAGUGGAGGAAUAACCCAAAGACA
rnacentral:tRNA from 1 species